AAAAUCAUAUCUCAAACAUCAGGUAUCCAAAAAUCACAAACUUUAUAUGUAAAUCACCAUAAACAUGUCUAGAAUGAGCACAAAAAAUUUCAGGAAUUUCUUUUAAUGUAUGAGCAUUUCACAAUGAAAAUGGAAAAACAUGUAAAAAAUACACACAAGUCAAAGAUCCCUAGGCCAGGUCAACAUUUCACCAUGCACAACUUGUGAUAUCAUGCUCAUAAAAAACUAGAGAGAAAUUGGAAAC
rnacentral:lncRNA from 1 species